AAACAGUUGCAACCGCACUUUUUAGGUUUUAAGCGAUAAUAAUUUGAUUAUCCACCUGAUAAGGCGAGUCUAAGCUGGAGG
rfam:Entomoplasmatales bacterium EntAcro10 contig_2, whole genome shotgun sequence.